rnacentral:rRNA from 1 species
UUCGCUCUUCAACGAGGAAUCCCUAGUAAGCACAAGUCAUCAGCUUGUGCUGAUUACGUCCCUGCCCUUUGUACACACCGCCCGUCGCUACUACCGAUUGAAUGGCUUAGUGAGGCCUUCGGAUUGUUAGUAAAAAACUGUAACAGGUUUUCUGCCGACGAAAAGUUGGUCAAACUUGGUCAUUUAGAGGAAGUAAAAGUCGUAACAAGGUUUCCGUAGGUGAACCUGCGGAAGGAUCAUUACAAAUCGUUGGCGAAUCUCGCCACUUUUUUUUUCGUAUUUAAAACAUCCACUCUUAAAAAUUAUUUUUAAUGGUAAAAUUAAAAAAAGAUCACUUUCAACAACGGAUCUCUUGGCUCUCGCAUCGAUGAAGAACGUAGCGAAGUGCGAUAAGUAAUGUGAAUUGCAGAAUUCCGUGAAUCAUCGAAUUUUUGAACGCAAAUUGCACUCUCCGGUUUUCCGGGAGAGUAUGCCUGUUUGAGGGUCAGCCUAAAUAAGAUCGGCUUCGUUGCUGUGUUUUUCGCGGUAAUGCUUGUCGGAAAUUGGGUUAUCUUAAACUUGUUUAAGUAGCUUAAAAUUUUUUUACGAUUCUAAGAACGUUUCUAAGAAUAUAUUUCUUUCUUACGUUCAAGGUAUCGAAUACUAUUAGACGUGGCCGUCACAUCGGAUCUCGUCCAUAAUUUUUUCUUUUACUGACCUCAGACAGGUAAGAGUACCCGCUGAACUUAAGCAUAUCAAUAAGCGGAGGAAAAGAAAAUAACAAUGAUUCCCUUAGUAACGGCGAGUGAAGGGGGAAAGGCUCAAAUUUUAAAUCGGUCAGGUUCUGCCUGUUCGAGUUGUAAUUUGAAGAAGCGUCUUCCGCGUUCGGGUCGACCCAAAUCCUUUGGGAUAAGGUAUCAUGGAGGGUGAGAAUCCCGUUCGGUUGACCUUGAAACGCUCUACGAUACGCUUUCAAAGAGUCGAGCUGUUUGGGAAUGCAGCUCAAAAUGGGAGGUAAAUUUCUCCUAAGGCUAAAUACCGGCGAGAGACCGAUAGCGAACAAGUACCGUGAGGGAAAGAUGAAAAGAACUUUGAAAAGAGAGUUAAACAGUACGUGAAAUUGUUGAAAGGGAAACGAUUGAAGCCAGUCGUACUGACGGAAAAUCAACUUUUCGGGUGCCUAUCGUGGGUGACGUUGAGCCUCACGGUCUUCGUUGCUUGUGUUGUUGGUACCUUUGGAGUGCACUUUUUCGUAUGGUAGGUCAACAUCGAUUUUAAUCGUCAUAAAAUGAUCGGAGGAAUGUGGCUUCGAUUUCGGUUGGAGUGUUAUAGCCUUUGGUAGAUGUGACGAUUGGGAUCGAGGAUUGCAACGAAUACCCUUUGGGCUAUCCGUCUGGCCUCUGAAAGUCGCUUGGGUGCUGAAAGCUUGCUUAUAGUAUUUAAGUUGGCGGUCAACAGGUUAGAACGUGAUUACAUUCGUUAAGGAUGUUGACGUAAUGGCUUUAAACGACCCGUCUUGAAACACGGACCAAGGAGUCUAACAUAUGUGCGAGUGUU